AGUGGGGGAUAACUACUCGAAAGAGUGGCUAAUACCGCAUGAGAUCUACGGAUGAAAGCAGGGAUCGCAAGACCUGCUGCUACUAGAGCGGCCGAUGGCAGAUUAAGGUAGUUGGUGGGAUAAAAGCUUACCAAGCCGACGAUCUGUAGCUGGUCUGAGAGGACGAUCAGCCACACUGGGACUGAGACACGGCCCAGACUCAUACGGGAGGCAGCAGUGGGGAAUUUUGGACAAUGGGCGCAAGCCUGAUCCAGCAAUGCCGCGUGCAGGAUGAAGGCCUUCGGGUUGUAAACUGCUUUUGUACGGAACGAAAAGCCCUGGGUUAAUACCCUGGGGUCAUGACGGUACCGUAAGAAUAAGCACCGGCUAACUACGUGCCAGCAGCCGCGGUAAUACGUAGGGUGCGAGCGUUAAUCGGAAUUACUGGGCGUAAAGCGUGCGCAGGCGGUUUUGUAAGACAGAGGUGAAAUCCCCGGGCUCAACCUGGGAACUGCCUUUGUGACUGCAAGGCUAGAGUACGGCAGAGGGGGAUGGAAUUCCGCGUGUAGCAGUGAAAUGCGUAGAUAUGCGGAGGAACACCGAUGGCGAAGGCAAUCCCCUGGGCCUGUACUGACGCUCAUGCACGAAAGCGUGGGGAGCAAACAGGAUUAGAU
rnacentral:rRNA from 1 species